rnacentral:rRNA from 1 species
UAAGGAAUAUUGGUCAAUGGGCGAAAGCCUGAACCAGCCACGCCGCGUGAAGGAAGACGGCCCUACGGGUUGUAAACUUCUUUUCUACGGGAAUAAACCUCAGGACGUGUCCUGAGCUGAAGGUACCGUAGGAAUAAGGAUCGGCUAACUCCGUGCCAGCAGCCGCGGUAAUACGGAGGAUCCAAGCGUUAUCCGGAUUUAUUGGGUUUAAAGGGUGCGUAGGUGGAAUGAUAAGUCAGAGGUGAAAGCUAGCAGCUUAACUGUUAAAUUGCCUUUGAUACUGUUAUUCUUGAGUGUAGUUGGCGUUGGCGGAAUGUGACAUGUAGCGGUGAAAUGCGUAGAUAUGUCACAGAACACCGAUCGCGAAGGCAGCUAACGAAGCUAUCACUGACACUGAUGCACGAAAGCGUGGGGAGCAAACAGGAUUAGAUACCCCCGUAGUCC